AGGAAAAAGAAAUUGAUGGGGAAGAUUGUGAAAGUUUGACAGAUGACUAUGCUGAUGGAGCAGUGAAGAAAACUGAAAAGGUGUGGGAAAAUGGAACAAAGCCAGAAUUCAAAGAUGGGAAGCAACUCGUGGAAUGGCUCGAAAGAAAAUUGCCAUAUCUGGAGCCAUUUGCUCCCGAAGACGCUGUGCAUUAUUAUUUCAACAGACAGUGGAGUCGACAAAAAUCUGAACUUAAACUAGAAGUAUUAGUUGAAGGAGACAGUGAGAACGAGAAUGAAACUACUGACCACUGCAAUCAUGGAGAUGACAAAAGCUUGGA